GAUGAACGCUGGCGGCGUGCCUAAUACAUGCAAGUCGAGCGAACGGACGAGAAGCUUGCUUCUCUGAUGUUAGCGGCGGACGGGUGAGUAACACGUGGAUAACCUACCUAUAAGACUGGGAUAACUUCGGGAAACCGGAGCUAAUACCGGAUAAUAUUUUGAACCGCAUGGUUCAAAAGUGAAAGACGGUCUUGCUGUCACUUAUAGAUGGAUCCGCGCUGCAUUAGCUAGUUGGUAAGGUAACGGCUUACCAAGGCAACGAUGCAUAGCCGACCUGAGAGGGUGAGCGGCCACACUGGAACUGAGACACGGUCCAGACUCCUACGGGAGGCAGCAGUAGGGAAUCUGCCGCAAUGGGCGAAAGCCUGACGGAGCAACGCCGCGUGAGUGAUGAAGGUCUUCGGAUCGUAAAACUCUGUUAUUAGGGAAGAACAUAUGUGUAAGUAACUGUGCACAUCUUGACGGUACCUAAGCAGAAAGCCACGGCUAACUACGU
rnacentral:rRNA from 1 species